GGCCUCUCUCCCCUCGCCUCCCACCCAACCAACUGCUGCAAAGUACAAUAUGUUGCGUCCACGCUGACUUGCUCGGAUUGUACAGAGUUAAGCUGGCCUUAUAGUCCAUUCCCAAAUUAUCUGCUCCUUGUCUGGAGUCUGACGUCCAGAUCACUCCCUCUGGGAAAAGCCAGCUGCAAUGUCAUGAGGACAUUCAAGGGUCUCAUAGAAGAAACUGAACCCUCUGCCAAUGCUAUGCAAUAUAGUGGAGCGGCUUAAAAGCAUGGCUCUGGACUCAGACUUCUCUGUACAAAUCCAAAGUCCCUCGUUAAAGUUGGAACACCUUUUGAUCAGAGCCAGCUGUGCUCGUAUUUGCUGCUAAGUGGGUUAAUGAGACUGAAGUUCACUAGACAAAAGAGAGAUGGCUACUC